GAUGAACGCUGGCGGCGUGCUUAACACAUGCAAGUCGAGCGAGAAGUUUUGAAAAGAUUCUUCGGAUGAAAUUUAAAAUGGAAAGCGGCGGACGGGUGAGUAACGCGUAGGCAGCCUGCCCCAUACAAAGGGAUAGCAUUUGGAAACGAAUAUUAAUACCUUAUGAAACUUAACUAGUGCAUGCUAGGUAGGUCAAAGAUUUAUCGGUAUGGGAUGGGCCUGCGUCUGAUUAGCUAGUUGGUGAGGUAACGGCUCACCAAGGCGACGAUCAGUAGCCGACCUGAGAGGGUGAACGGCCACAUUGGAACUGAGACACGGUCCAAACUCCUACGGGAGGCAGCAGUGGGGAAUAUUGCACAAUGGGGGAAACCCUGAUGCAGCAACGCCGCGUGAACGAUGAAGGCCUUUGGGUCGUAAAGUUCUGUUCUAGGUGAUGAAAACUGACAGUAACCUAGGAGAAAGCCCCGGCUAACUCCGUG
rnacentral:rRNA from 1 species